UGGUUCCUGACCAAGGAGGCAGUGUCAGAG
rnacentral:piRNA from 1 species